rnacentral:rRNA from 1 species
UACGUAGGGCUCAAGCGUUGUCCGGAAUUAUUGGGCGUAAAGAGCUCGUAGGCGGUUUGUCGCGUCUGCUGUGAAAACCUAAGGCUCAACCUUGGGCUUGCAGUGGGUACGGGCAGACUAGAGUGCGGUAGGGGUGACUGGAAUUCCUGGUGUAGCGGUGGAAUGCGCAGAUAUCAGGAGGAACACCGGUGGCGAAGGCGGCCACCUGGGCUAGGACUGACGCUGAGGCGCGAAAGCGCGGGGAGCGAACGGG